rnacentral:SRP_RNA from 2 species
GCUGGGCAUGGUGCUGCAUGCCUGUAAUCCCAGCAACUCAGGAGGCUGAGGCAGGAGAAUCACUUGAACCUGGGAGGCAGAGGUUGCAGUGAGCCGAGACUGCGCCACUGCACUCCAGCCUGGGCAACAGAGUGAGACUCUGUCUCAA